CUUAGGCGCAUGUCAGACACGGUCCUGCGUAUUCGUCCCGGGUUGUCCUGCUGUGUGGGUGGCGGUGCUCAGAGUGCAGGUGAUGGAGGUGGAGUCUGCAGCGCUGCUCAGGCGCUGCUGUUUCUGGCUGUGUCGAGGGGGGGUCCAACUGUGAGGCCGUGGCCAGGGCCAGGGUGCAGCUCCAGUCCGCCACCUGCUGGUGAUCCAGAGGAUGCCGAGAGACGAGCUGUAACAGGUGUGGUUUGGUGACCACCUGUUUGGCAGUGUAGUGUGUCGGGGGACAGAGUAGGGAGAGCGUUAGCACCUGACGUGUUGGUCGUGUGGGCUGUAGCGUGUAGCAUGGUGUUGUGUAGCAUGGUGGCGUGUUUGCGACCAAGUGUGCGGCCGGGUUUAGUUGUGCGUGUGUGGAUGGCAUUUGGGACAGCGGCGGUUCGGUUUGUGUGAGAUUGUCGUCUUCGGCUUGCAAUGUUGUGGGUGUCAGCUUCUUUGGUCUGUGCUCGGGUCGAUGUGUAGGUGUGGCGGUUUAGGGUCGAUGAGGCAGGUGUGUGUGUGUGUGUGUGUGUGUGUAGCAGGUUUUGGUUGGCAGUGUGGUCCUGGUUCGAGUCAUCUUGCUGAAGAAUGUCAUGGAGGAGUUGAAGGUGCAGUGCAGCAGCCCCUGCUGAAGUAGGACUUGACGCAGCCAUGGUCAGGGCGGAGCCUAGGCUGGAGGAGGAGAUCCAAUGGAAUGAGCUGCAUCUGUCUGAGUGGGACUCCAGCUCGG